rnacentral:lncRNA from 1 species
ACUCUGUGGGUGGGGGAGGAGCAUGGUUCCGGUGGCUUCAGAAAUGAGCAACAAGCUAUCGGAGCCACUGAUUCCUCAAAGACCAAGAGCUGGAGAAAAAUAAUUUAUUUUCAUUUAUUCCAUAUCGUUCUAUCCAUCCACUCUUCUGUUUGACCAACAUUUUGAAUUGCCUACUAUGUGUUUACCAGCAAACAAGGAAGAACCUGGCUUUUGUAAUCUAUAAUCGUACCAAGGCUGAAACCUUACUUUUAAACAAAUACCAGAAUUUUAAAAUUAUAACUGAGGCACAGACUUCUGCCAGGCCUGCAGACAGAGCUCAGGAUAAAGAGCCAAGGGUGUGGCCUGUCUCGAGGCCCAUAGAUGUGCGCUCUGCAGGUGGAAUGGCCGUCCGGUGCUUACUUUGACUGUCCUCGGGUCCCGAGUCUUCUGGUGGUUAACUGAGGAAACUGCUGCCUUAUGAUCUAGCAGAGGAUGAUAAUUGCUGUUGCCCAGGACAACCACACCAGUUCACAAGAAAUCCGUGAAGAGAGAGCAUCUCUCAAGGUGAAAACAUAACCAUGAGGCCCCUUUCCUUGGGGUUUACGGAGAUGAUGUUUGUGGAGAGGCAUGACAGGUCAGGGGUUACGUGCAAGAACUCUGGAACUCGACUACCUGAAUUGAAUGCAAGCUCAGGCAUUGGUUAGGCUGGAUGCCCUUGGGCAAGUUAUUUAGUAUCCACAUGACUCAGUUUCCCCAUUUGUAAAAUAGGAAUGAUAAUAACCUCUAGAGUUAUUGUGAAAUUUUAAAAAGUGAAUGUAUGUAAAUAGCUGGCAGUAGUGCCUGGCAGUUAGUAAGUACUUAAUAAAUGUUACCCAUUAUUACCAAAAAAAAAAAAAAAA